rfam:Triticum aestivum genome assembly, contig: Triticum_aestivum_CS42_TGACv1_scaffold_578118_7BL
GAUUUACUCCCUCCGUCCGGAAAUACUUGUCUCAGAAAUGGGUGUACCUAGACUUAUUUUAGUUAUAGAUACAUCCAUUUAUAUCCAUUUUUAGAACAAGUAUUUUCGAACGAAGGGAGUAUGUG